rnacentral:rRNA from 1 species
UAGGAGCCCCGGGGGGCCGCAGAGAAAUGGCCCAGGCGACUGUUUAGCAAAAACACAGCACUAUGCAAACCUCUAAGGGGAAGUAUAUGGUGUGACGCCUGCCCAAUGCCAAAAGGUUAAAGGGAUAUGUCAGCUGCAAAGCGAAGCAUUGAACCUAAGCCCUGGUGAAUGGCCGCCGUAACUAUAACGGUGCUAAGGUAGCGAAAUUCCUUGUCGGGUAAGUUCCGACCUGCACGAAUGGUGUAACGAUCUGGGCACUGUCUCAACGAAAGACUCGGUGAAAUUGUAGUAGCAGUGAAGAUGCUGUUUACCCGCGAAAGGACGAAAAGACCCCGUGAACCUUUACUGUACUUUGGUAUUGAUUUUUGGUUUGUUAUGUGUAGGAUAGCCAGGAGACUAGGAACACUCUUCUUCAGGAGAGUGGGAGUCAACGUUGAAAUACUGGUCUUAACAAGCUGGGAAUCUAACAUUAUUCCAUGAAUCUGGAGGAUGGACAUUGCCAGACGGGCAGUUUUACUGGGGCGGUAUCCUCCUAAAAAGUAACGGAGGAGCCCAAAGCUUAUUUCAUCGUGGUUGGCAAUCACGAGUAGAGCGUAAAGGUAUAAGAUAGGUUGACUGCAAGACCAACAAGUCGAGCAGAGACGAAAGUCGGGCUUAGUGAUCCGGCGGUGGAAAGUGGAAUCGCCGUCGCUUAACGGAUAAAAGGUACUCCGGGGAUAACAGGCUGAUCGCCACCAAGAGUUCAUAUCGACGUGGCGGUUUGGCACCUCGAUGUCGGCUCAUCGCAUCCUGGGGCUGGAGAAGGUCCCAAGGGUUUGGCUGUUCGCCAAUUAAAGCGGUACGCGAGCUGGGUUCAAAACGUCGUGAGACAGUUUGGUCUCUAUCCUUCGUGGGCGCAGGAUACUUGAGAGGAGCUGUUCCUAGUACGAGAGGACCGGAAUGGACGAACCAAUGGUGUGUCGGUUGUUUUGCCAAGAGCAUAGCCGAGUAGCUACGUUCGGAAAGGAUAAGCAUUGAAAGCAUCUAAAUGCCAAGCCUCCCUCAAGAUAAGGUAUCCCAAUGAGAC